GACAGAGGUGGCAAGCGUUGUUCGGAUUUACUGGGCGUAAAGAGUGCGUAGGUGGUUGAGGUAAGACCUGUGGGAAAGACCUGGGCUUAACCCAGGAAGGUCGCAGGUGACUGCCUCGCUUGAGGACGGGAGAGGAGAGCGGAAUUCCCGGUGUAGCGGUGAAAUGCGUAGAUAUCUGGAGGAACACCGGUGGCGAAGGCGACUCUUUGGCCUGUAACUGACGCUGAGGCGCGAAAGCGUGGGGAGCAAACAGG
rnacentral:rRNA from 1 species